CCUACGGGCGGCAGCAGUGAGGAAUAUUGGACAAUGGGCGCGAGCCUGAACCAGCCAAGCAGCGUGAAGGAUGACUGCCCUACGGGUUGUAAACUUCUUUUAUAAAGGAAUAAAGUGAGGCACGUGUGCAUUAUUGUAUGUACUUUAUGAAUAAGGAUCGCCUAACUCCGUGCCAGCAGCAGCGGUAAUACGGAGGAGCCGAGCGUUAUGCGGAUUUAAUGGGUUUAAAGGGAGCGUAGAUGGGUUGUUAAGUCAGUUGUGAAAGUUUGCGGCUCAACCGUAAAAUUGCAAUUGAUACUGGCAGCCUUGAGUACAGUAGGGGUAGGCGGAAUUCGUGGUGUAGCGGUGAAAUGCUUAGAGAUCACGAAGAACUCCGAUUGCGAAGGCAGCCUACUGAACUGCCACUGACAUUGAUGCUCGAAAGUGUGGGUAUCAAACAGGAUUAGAUACCCUGGUAGUC
rnacentral:rRNA from 1 species